rnacentral:misc_RNA from 1 species
UCUCCGUAGGUGAACCUGCGGAGGGAUCACUACAGGCUUGCAAAAGCUCUGAAACCACUGUUUAUCUACCUGAAUCUGUUUCGGCGGGCUGCCCCAGGGCGCGGCCGUACCCGGCCGGCGCCCGCCGAAGACCCCUAAACUCUGUCGUCUUGUGAAUCUCUGAUUAAUUAUAUUAAACAAAAACAACUUUCAACAACGGAUCUCUUGGCUCUG